AGCUUUGCAAAACAGUAGUAUCAUAGCCAAUGAGAUUUAUCCAAGGCAUGAUUAUUGCUAAUUGAAAACUUUUCCCAAUAACCAGCUUUGACAACUUGGAAUUGGCAAUAAAAUAAAUAAAUAUGAAAUGACUUAAGUC